rnacentral:rRNA from 1 species
GACGAACGCUGGCGGCGUGCCUAAUACAUGCAAGUAGAACGAGUUGCGAACGGGUGAGUAACGCGUGGUAACCUGCCUCAUGACGGGGGAUAACUAUUGGAAACGAUAGCUAAUACCGCAUACUGUGAGAUGGACCUGCGUGGUAUUCGGUAGUUGGUGAGGUAAAGGCGCACCACGGCGAUGCUACAUAGCCGACCGGAGAGGAUGACCAGCCACACUGGAACUGAGACACGGCCCAGACUCCUACGGGAGGCAGCAGUGGGGAAUAUUGCACAAUGGGCGCAAGCCUGAUGCAGCCAUGCCGCGUGUAUGAAGAAGGCCUUCGGGUUGUAAAGUACUUUCAGCGGGGAGGCGUUACCCGCAGAAGAAGCACCGGCUAACUCCGUGCCAGCAGCCGCGGUAAUAC